CCUAGGGAGGUAGCAGUGAGGAAGAUUGGUCAAGGGACGAGAGUCGGAACCAGUCAAGUAGCGUGAAGGAGGACGGCCCUAUGGGUUGUAAACUUCUUUUAUAAGCGAGAAAUAUGAUGGUAACUUAUGAAUAAGGAUCGGCUAACUACGUGCCAGCAGCCGCGGUCAUACGUAGGAUCCGAGCAUUAUCCGGGGUGACUGGGUGUAAAGAGUUGCGUAGGUGGCCUAAUAAGUAGCUAGUGAAAUCUGGUGGCUCAACCAUUCAGACUAUUAGCUAAACUGUUAAGCUCGAGACCGUUAGGGGUAACUGGAAUUUCUAGUGUAGGAGUGAAAUCCGUAGAUAUUAGAAGGAACACCAAUGGCGUAGGCAGGUUACUGGGACGGUUCUGACACUAAGGCACGAAAGCGUAGGGAGCAAACGGGAUUAGAUACCCUGGUAGUC
rnacentral:rRNA from 1 species